rnacentral:Y_RNA from 1 species
GGCUACUCAGAAGUAGUGAGUUAUAUGAAUUGAUUGUUUGCAGUCAGGUACAGUUUGAACUCCUUGUUCUACUGUUUCCUGCUUCUCACUACUGCACUUGACUAGUCUUAA